CGCUGGCGGCGUGCCUAAUACAUGCAAGUCGAACGCACUCUCGUUUAGAUUGAAGGAGCUUGCUCCUGAUUGAUAAACAUUUGAGUGAGUGGCGGACGGGUGAGUAACACGUGGGUAACCUGCCCUAAAGUGGGGAUAACAUUUGGAAACAGAUGCUAAUACCGCAUAAAACCUAACACCGCAUGGUGUAGGGUUGAAAGAUGGUUUCGGCUAUCACUUUAGGAUGGACCCGCGGUGCAUUAGUUAGUUGGUGAGGUAAAGGCUCACCAAGACCGUGAUGCAUAGCCGACCUGAGAGGGUAAUCGGCCACACUGGGACUGAGACACGGCCCCAGACUCCUACGGGAGGCAGCAGUAGGGAAUCUUCCACAAUGGACGAAAGUCUGAUGGAGCAACGCCGCGUGAGUGAAGAAGGUUUUCGGAUCGUAAAACUCUGUUGUUGGAGAAGAAUGUAUCUGAUAGUAACUGAUCAGGUAGUGACGGUAUCCAACCAGAAAGCCACGGCUAACUACGUG
rnacentral:rRNA from 1 species